rnacentral:tmRNA from 2 species
GCACUAAGUGCUAUGGUAAUAGAUCUUAGUUUUGUAAAAUUAAAAAGACCCGGGGGCGGUACCCGGCUUCUCCACUUAUGGGGAAGAAUAGUUAUCGAUUUUUAAUGGAAUAAACUAAGUUACCAGGUAGUAAUUCUCCCUUAAAAAGAAUUAAGAAAAACGUGCAAA